rnacentral:tRNA from 1 species
AAGAAAGUGGCAGAGUGGUUAUGCAGUCGGCUUGAAACCGAUUUAAGGGGGUUCAAUUCCUUCCUUUCUCG